GACGAACGCUGGCGGCGUGCCUAAUACAUGCAAGUAGAACGCACAGUUUAUACCGUAGCUUGCUACACCAUAGACUGUGAGUUGCGAACGGGUGAGUAACGCGUAGGUAACCUGCCUGGUAGCGGGGGAUAACUAUUGGAAACGAUAGCUAAUACCGCAUAAUAUUGAUUAUUGCAUGAUAAUUAAUUGAAAGGUGCAAUUGCACCACUACCAGAUGGACCUGCGUUGUAUUAGCUAGUAGGUGAGGUAACGGCUCACCUAGGCGACGAUACAUAGCCGACCUGAGAGGGUGAUCGGCCACACUGGGACGGGGACACGGCCCAGACUCCUACGGGAGGCAGCAGUAGGGAAUCUUCGGCAAUGGACGAAAGUCUGACCGAGCAACGCCGCGUGAGGGAAGAAGGUUGUCGGAUCGUAAAGCUCGGUUGUAAGAGAAGAACGGGUGUGAGAGUGGAAAGUUCACACUGUGACGGUAUCUUACCAGAAAGGGACGGCUAACUACGUG
rnacentral:rRNA from 1 species